GAGUAAGAGAGGGCCAGGUGAAUAGAGUGUGGUUUAUGACCAAAAUAUCAGGACACAAAUCAAAGAUUACUAACCAAGUAUUUGAAAUCAGACCAUCUUAAAGAAGGCUUGUAUUAUCACUAAACAAACAAAUUGAAAAGAGUCAUCAUGGAAAACUUCAAGUAGGAGAAAGGUCUUGAAUUUGCCCUUGGAUGUGUCUAUGAGGAGAGCAACCCGGGCUGUGAGAGCGGCUUAGCGGUAGGAAUGAGGAGGCUAGGGGUCAGGAUGACGUGCAGAUUGCCCGGCUGAGGGAGGAUGUGUGCCAGGAGUGGAGGGGAAGAGGAUUUGGGGAUGGGCCCACUGGGAUACUGAAAACCCGGCAGGAUGUUUGCACUCAGGGCAGUAGGGAGCCAAAGAAUGAAAUAGGGUGAGAAAUUUAAAAGAGCAGUUUGAGUUCCUUCACUAAACAUUUCUUGAGCACAGACAUGCACAAGAUGCUGAGGAUCGCGGUACCCUCAAGGAUUUACAAACGAGUGGGUGAGAAGGGCAGGGAAAGAGCAUUAUGACUUCAUGUGAUGAGUCCUGGAGAGAGCACAGGGUGUGCACAGUGCAGAGGUGGGUGCGGGCGUCGGCCCACUCCAGGUCGGGGUUGGUGUAACGUCAUGGAAGGCCUUCAGGUGAAGCAAUAUCUGAGCUGAGUUUUGAAAGACAGGCAUGUGAGAUGUGGGGGAUAGGCUGCCAGCAAAGCCAUCAGCGCUUGCAAAGUGACCUGAGGGCGUGGGAAGAUGACAGGGGCUGGAGUACAGGACUCUGGAGGCGAGCUGAGCGAUAGAAUGGGAUGAAACGUAUGAAGCAGCUGUUUCAGGCCCUGGAUUCGCUCCAGACAGUGCGGGACUGUGAUCCCUGCAGAGCAGAGAAACACUAAGGGAAGGAGAGACAGACAGGGAAGGAGAGAUGGAGAAGAAAGGGUCGUAGCGGGGCUGAUGGCCAACUGGUAAACACCAGUGUGGCCACAGUGAUUUUCUAAAUAUCACAGUGUUUCCACACUAAUUGGUGAGUAGCUGCUGCCCUCAGCCUCUUUCCACCCCCAGUGUUCUUCCACUGCCCUCCUUGGGCCUGCUGGCCCCAACCAGCCACUAAAGGGGUCACACCUGGUCCAGCGGACCCUCAGGAGUCCUUCCAGGGCCUUCUGUUUGGGCAGCAUGGGGAUUAAGUGUCUGCAUGUGACCCCUGAGGAGAGGGACUCCCUAGUGGGUGUAGAGCAGAGGCAGAGUCAGGCAACUCUGUUUCAUACAUUCAAGGCUCCCCAGCACCUCAGGUCCGAGUCCCUCCCAUGUUUGCUCUUCACUGCCACCCAGAGCCAGGUGCACGAGGUCUGGCCUGUCCCUACCAUCUCUUCUUUCCUGGUGGCCUUCUCUCCACACAUCCUGCUCGGCACUGUCAGCUCCAGGGCACAGCCUAACGUGACUGUGGCGUUCGGAAUUUGGGGGAAUUUCAUCAACUCUAAGAUAUCGCUGACUGUGAGGUUCAUCAUUUUAUGUACCAGGAGGAAAGAAAAAACCUGCCAACUAAACUGUGACACCUGAUAGUGCUGUGCCGUCAUGAAUCAGUCACACCGGCCUCUUGUGGCCCUGAAAUUUCUUUCAUCUAUCCUGAAGGAUUUGGCAAUUUCUCCUGCCUCUGGCUGCCAGGAUAGGCAAUCCUGCCCAUUUCUCCAUAAUAAAAUGUAAUGCAGAUUCAUCUCCCUGUGGGUACGGUUCUUGCUAAAAAUAUGUAACUGUGGUCAUUCGUCCUAAGAGGAAUAUUUGCAUCUUUAAUACCAAAUUCACAUUCCACUGUUGUUUCCAUUUUCUGCUGUAGUUUCCAUUCAAGCUUUUCAUGUCAAUGUUGAAUCAUAAUGUAAUCAUUCUGGAGACAUUUUGAAUGGUGAUUAAAGCAUGUAAACUAUCAACAGUGCGUUGUAACUCAAUUAAGGGGAUGAUAAUUCGAGCAGCU
rnacentral:lncRNA from 1 species